UACAGAGGGGCAAGCGUUAUUCGGAAUUAUUGGGCGUAAAGGGCGCGUAGGCGGCCUUGCAAGUGACGGGUGAAAUCCCUCGGCUUAACCGAGGAACUGCCUGUCAAACUGCGUGGCUUGAGACCAGGAGAGGUGAGUGGAAUUCCCAGUGUAGCGGUGAAAUGCGUAGAUAUUGGGAGGAACACCAGUGGCGAAGGCGGCUCACUGGACUGGUACUGACGCUGAUGCGCGAAAGCGUGGGGAGCAAACAGGG
rnacentral:rRNA from 1 species